rnacentral:lncRNA from 1 species
UUAUGAUAAGGCCAUAACUUAGUCGUAGAAAGGAAAUUAGGGGAAUUUUUUGAUCCCUUGUUUAAGUGUCAUUGGAUGUAGUUUUCUCUAUAUUUAUUCUAAUUUAUUUUGUGGAUUUGUUCUUACAUAUAUAUUAGUUAUUAGUUAUCAGUCAGAUAGUUCAUUGUAAUAAUUGAUCACGUUUGUAUCUAUAGUCGAAUGCAUUGAUUGUAAUUAUUAUUGUAAUUUCAUGGACGGUGUUUCUUUGUCCAGCUGAAUUGGAAAUGCAUUACAGCUUUUCGGAUGCUCUUUUUGUACCAAAAUAGUUUUUAUCGUCUCUUUUCAUGUUGGGGAGGGUUUGUUCUCACCUUUUUUUUGGUUGAGGUAGUAUUCUCUUAUGUUAGAUAAAGUUUAUAAUUCAUUUCUCUUCAAUUGCAGGGGCAAAUGCUUACUUCUUUGGAAAAGGUAUGCCGAUUAUGCUGUAUAUUGAAUAUUUGAAUUUCUGAUAUUCUAUUGAGUGUUGAAUUGAAUUCUACAUUGCAGGUGGUAGAAUGGUUUGCGUUGCAGACCAAUGUGCAAGGCGGUCAAGUUUAUAUCUUAAUUUUCCCCUUUGAUUGGCAAAGGAUCAUGUUCUAUUCAUGCUCGAAAAUAGUUUCUAGCAUAUGUUGAAAAAGCAAAGACUACCGGAUGGUUGGAUUCAUCAUUUCAUUGUGGCAAUUCCAUAAACGGUAAAGAGAAUGGGGCCUGCCAAUAAUAACGAGUAAGUUUUCUCAUCCUUUGUUGUACACCAUUUUAUAUAACAUUAGAUAUACUAAAAUGGUUAUGAUGUUGGGAUUUGAAUCCCAGAUGCCACGUCUUGAAGGUGUUUGCAUGAGCAAUAGGUUGAAUGCAAAUUUUGAUUCUAAUUUAUUAAUCCCAAUCAUUCCACUCUUAUCAGAGCUGACAUGCUCAAUUGUUUUUACUCUUAAAAUUAAUCACUCGUAGGUUUACAGGGAAGUUGAGUUCCUUCUAGCUGUGCCCUGGUAUUGCAGAGAAUAAGUUAAGAAUUGACUUAAAUUUAAACAUUUGCCUGACACACGCUGCAUUAUUGUUGAAGUCAGCAUGUUUUGUUUUGUUUUGUUUUUGCCAUUACAGCUGCUAUAGUUAUGUAAAGAGAAUGGGGCCUGCCAAUAAUAAUGAGCAUGUAGGCACUAAAUCUGCAGUUCAAAUUCGAAGUCAUGCUCAAAAGUUUUUCUCUAAGGUUCAUUGCUUUGAGUUCAUUACAAGAUUUCCUUGAUUAAGUAAAUGUAUUAUAUCUUUUAUUACCAAGAUUUACUUGAUUAAGAAAAUGCAUUGUAUUUUUUAUUACCUUGCAAUGUGUACAGUUAUAGGCAGGUUCAACUAGUUAGUCUGUUUCUCAUAUGUAUUAUUUAUUUUAGUUUUGAUUCUAAAUUUUUAUUUUUACUUUAAUAUUUACGAAAAAUUGAGUUCUAACUUUUGGAUUUUAAUUGUGUUAUUAAUUUAUUAUUUUAAAUUCUAAAACUAAAUUCUAAAACUAAAUUCAUUAAUUUUUAUAUUUAGUUUUAAAGUUAAAAUUUUCAUAGAAAAUUUAAUUUAAAUAAUAUUUUUUUGUUUAUCCUUAAAAGUAUAUUUAAAGUU